rnacentral:misc_RNA from 1 species
GAAAUGCGAUAAGUAAUGCGAAUUGCAGAAUUUCCGUGAGUCAUCGAAUCUUUGAACGCACAUUGCGCCCACUGGUAUUCCGGUGGGCAUGCCUGUUCGAGCGUCAUUAUCACAACUCAAGCAUUGCUUGGCUAUUGGGCCUCGUCCAACUGGGCGUGCCUCAAAGAUAGCGGCGGUGUGACCUGGUCCUUGAGCGCAUUAGUUAUAUAUCGCUACGAGGUCCAGGCUGCUCCAGCCGGGAUAAUUGAAUUUUUUCUUCCAUGAUUGACCUCGGAUCAGGUAGGGAUACCCGCUGAACUUAA